rnacentral:rRNA from 1 species
UACGUAGGGUGCAAGCGUUGUCCGGAAUUAUUGGGCGUAAAGCGCACGUAGGCGGCCUUGUAAGUCGGAUGUGAAAUCCCACGGCUCAACCGUGGAAGUGCAUCCGAAACUGCGAGGCUCGAGUAUGGAAGAGGGUCGCAGAAUUCCCGGUGUAGAGGUGAAAUUCGUAGAUAUCGGGAGGAAUACCAGUGGCGAAGGCGGCGACCUGGGCCAAUACUGACGCUGAGGUGCGAAAGCGUGGGGAGCAAACAGG